CAGCCGCCGCGGUAAUACGUAGGGUGCGAGCGUUAAUCGGAAUUACUGGGCGUAAAGCGUGCGCAGGCGGUUUUGUAAGACAGGCGUGAAAUCCCCGGGCUCAACCUGGGAAUGGCGCUUGUGACUGCAAAGCUAGAGUGCGGCAGAGGGGGAUGGAAUUCCGCGUGUAGCAGUGAAAUGCGUAGAUAUGCGGAGGAACACCGAUGGCGAAGGCAAUCCCCUGGGCCUGCACUGACGCUCAUGCACGAAAGCGUGGGGAGCAAACAGGAUCAGAGACCCCUGUAGUCCCUGUCUCUUAUAC
rnacentral:rRNA from 1 species